rnacentral:lncRNA from 1 species
UUGUGCUCUCUUCCUGCUGCCUGAGGAUCUGGAUGAGAACUCUCAGCCACCUCUCCAGCACCGUGCCUGCCUGCUUGCCACCAUGCUUCUCACCAUGAUGACAAUGGACUAAAACUCUGAACUGUAACAGCACCAUAAAGAUAGAAGACUAGCUACAGGGGAUUCUCCGUACAAUUCAUACUAAAGCCAUUGCCUGGAGAGUCUGGCAUCUUGGACUGAAGGUAAGUUUCUGCUCUGUUGUCAACCU